AUGCUGAGGCGGCGCGACGCGGGUGAAGCUGUUGCUGCUGUCGAGGAGGUGACGACGAGGCCCAAGAUCCGCAAGCGGUGCGCGCUGUCAUCAUCGUCCGGCGCGUCGGGGACACUGAGGAGGCUGAGGCUGAGGCGAGGCGUUGUGUCGCUCCAUCGGAGGGGAUCAGGCGGCGUCGCUUCGCCGUUGCCGACCAGCUGGAAGAUGUCCGAGUCGUCGUGGAGCCGGGCGUGCCGCGCCGACGGGAUGCACUCGUCGGUGUCCGCCCGGAAGCUCGUCAGCGCUCUCUGGCAGAUGAACGAGGGCGGCUUGCUCGAGGAGGAGGAGGAGGCCCGGAUCGCCAGGGACGCGGCUGCGCGCCGGGGCUCCGCGGCGGCGCACCGGCGCAGCGCGUCGUCCGUGGAGAUCUCCAAGAGGUCAAGAACGAGGAGCAAGGUGGUUUCGGAGGCUGAUCAUGGGCGCCAUUGGUUUUCAGAUAAGCUGAGCAAUGCCGGCACAACCGGGAUGCAAGCAUGCGCUCAAGACUCGAGCUCCACGUGUUCAGCGGACAGAAUGGCACACCUGCAAGACAUGUACAACAGCCUGACAGCGUGCAAGGAGCUCGUCAGAGUCCUCGGCAACAUCUGGGGGCCGGGAGACCUGAGCCCGUCCACGGCGUCGCUCCUCUCCGCUCUGCGCUCCGAGCUCGACCUGGCGCGCGCCCACGCGCGGCAGCUCGCCAGAGAGCGGAGCCACCGCGGCAGCGAGACGGUGGAGCUCAUGAAGAAGCGGCUGGAGGCCGAGGCGCGCGCGUGGAAGAGCAAGCAGAGGGAGAAGGUGGCGGCCACCGUGCGGGUCGUGUGCGACGAGCUCGACGGCGAGAGGCGGUCGAGGCGGAGGGCGGAGCGGGUGAGCGCCAAGCUCGGGAGCGCGCUGGCCGAGGCGGAGCGGGAGCUCGAGAGGGAGCGGAGGUCGAGGGAGCGGCUCGAGAAGGUGUGCGACGAGCUCGUGAGGGGCGGCGAGGUGGAGGAGGAGGUGAGGCGGGAGGCCGAGGAGGCGCAGGCGGAGGUCGACCGGGAGCGGGAGAUGCUGCGGCUCGCCGACGAGCUCCGGGAGGAGCGGGUCCAGAUGAAGCUGCUCGAGGCGCGGCUCCAGUUCGAGGAGAAGAACGCCGUCGUCGAGCAGCUCCGCGGCGAGCUGGAGGCCUUCCUGGAGACCAAGAAGCAGGGCCUCCUCGAACUGGAAUCACCUGCCGCCGCUGAUGAAGAACGCCAAGCUACUCACGACGAUGAUGAUCACCAUGGAUUCUUCGAAGCUGAAGGUGGCAAUGGAGUUGCUCGUGUGGAUGUCAACAAGAGGACGGACGUAGACGACGACGGUGGAGGAUCCGGUGAUGAUUCAGACGGCAGCGACAUGCACUCCAUCGAGCUGAACAUGGACGGUGGCAGAAACAAGGACUAUGGCGGCUGGAGCUACACCACCGCUUUCAAGGAGAUGAUGACAACGACGGCCAAGAAGGCGGCGUCUGCGGACAGCAGGGGAACGGGGUGCGCCGAUCUGUGGGCCGGCGACCGGAGAUCGCUGGAGGAACCGGAAGGAGGCCAGCGGUGGGACGACGACGAAGGGCGCAGCGACGUCGACGAGGAGGACUCGGAGAGGUACCAGGCCAUCAAGAACCUCAGGGAGCAGAUGCUCGCCGGCCAUGGGUUGGGUUCCAUUUUCCUGUCGGGAGCAUAUGAAGGAAAUUAUACGGCCUGA
rnacentral:rRNA from 1 species